AAGUUCUCUGGUGGAGCUUGUGAGGAUUCAACUGUUUUCUCUGACCAUGACACACGGUCAGUUGUUACAUGCUGCAAGGAAGAUGUAUAUCUACUUAUGGUUUGAGAUACAUGAUUUUCUACCGGCAAACCAUUCAGUUGGCCUACCUGCACUGCUGACAUUUUUUUGCAUCCAUUUGUUGUCCCUGAAAAAAAUUCUGUUUCAUGAAAUUCUGAAUUCAAAUUAAAAGGCCUCUUCUUUUGUUGCAUCUCCAGUUGAAUUUCAAUUUGGUCUUGUUCUUCAUCUCUCUUCUCUGGGUCAAAAUUCAAUGUUCUUUUGCAAGAUCUGGUACUGUUUCCAGCACUAGGAUCUGUUGUCUCUCUCAAAACAUCUGUCUGUUGAGGUGCUGAUUCCUUCAAGCCCUUCUUGCGUACGUACUUCCUUUUUCCAGUUGGGUUCUCUUUGGACUUUGUAUUUCUUGGAGUUGCAGAUUUUGGUGUCCUUUUGGGUUUGCCUUCUACAACUACUUUGGGCCUGUGUUUUCUGCUUUUGGGUGGCUUUUGCU
rnacentral:lncRNA from 1 species